UUUCUCUUCAACCGGAAGGGAUUCCUUCUGGUCAAUGAGGUACGACAAACUCAUUGGCCAGAAGGGAUUCCUUCUGGUCAAUGAGGCUGUUCCACCUCAUUGAUUGGAAGGAAUUCCUUCUGGUUGAUGGGGUUUUUAUACCUCAUCAACCAGAAGGAAUCCCUCCCGGCUGAUGAGUCA
rnacentral:miRNA from 1 species